UUAGAGGAAGGAGAAGUCGUAACAAGGUUUCCGUAGGUGAACCUGCGGAAGGAUCAUUGUCGAAACCUGCCCAGCAGAACGACCCGCGAACACGUAUCAAUGCUACGGGGGCGAGGGGAGGCAUGCCCCCUCUCUCCCCCAAAGUCGGGACGCGCUCGGUGCUCGAUCCGCCAACCGUGCCCCGUGCGCGGGAAGCAUCGGCACCGGCGUGCGCUCGACAUCACAACGAACCCCGGCGCAAAACGCGUCAAGGAAACGCAACGCAAGAGCCCGCUCCCAUCCCCCGGUCUCGGGCCGUGGUGGGGGCAAUGGCAUCUUCGAUAUUAUUCUAAACGACUCUCGGCAACGGAUAUCUCGGCUCUCGCAUCGAUGAAGAACGUAGCGAAAUGCGAUACUUGGUGUGAAUUGCAGAAUCCCGUGAACCAUCGAGUCUUUGAACGCAAGUUGCGCCCAAAGCCAUUAGGCCGAGGGCACGUCUGCCUGGGCGUCACGUAUCGCGUCGCCACCCCAACCCCGCCCACGUAUACCGUGCCGCGGGGCAUCAUGUGGGGGCGGAUAUUGGCCUCCCGUGCACUUCGCCGCGGUUGGCCUAAAAGCGAGCCCCGGGCGACAGAACGUCACGAUAAGUGGUGGUUGAUAAGCCCCGGCCCUUCAAGUGUCAUGUCGUGCGUUGCCCUGUCGCUCGUUGGAGCUACGAGACCCCGAUGCGUCGUCCCGACGAUGCUUCCAUCGCGACCCCAGGUCAGGCGGGACUACCCGCUGAGUUUAAGCAU
rnacentral:misc_RNA from 1 species